rnacentral:rRNA from 1 species
AAUCCGACCUAGGCUCAUCCAUUAGCGCAAGGUCUUACGAUCCCCUGCUUUCCUCCGUAGAGCGUAUGCGGUAUUAGCCCGGCUUUCGCCGGGUUAUCCCCCACAAAUGGGCAGAUUCCUACGUAUUACUCACCCGUCCGCCGCUCUCAAGAGGAGCAAGCUUCUCUCUACCGCUCGACUUGCAUGUGUUAGGCCUGCCGCCAGCGUUCAAUCUGAGCCAGGAUCAAACUCU